rnacentral:rRNA from 1 species
AUUGAACGCUGGCGGCAGGCCUAACACAUGCAAGUCGAACGAGUGGCGGACGGGUGAGUAAUGUCUGGGAAACUGCCUGAUGGAGGGGGAUAACUACUGGAAACGGUAGCUAAUACCGCAUACCAUCAGAUGUGCCCAGAUGGGAUUAGCUAGUUGGUGGGGUAACGGCUCACCAAGGCGACGAUCCCUAGCUGGUCUGAGAGGAUGAGCAGCCACACGGGAACUGAGACACGGUCCACACGCCUACGGGAGGACGCAGUGGGGAAUAUUGCGCAAUGGGGGCAAGCCUGAUGCAGCCAUGCCGCGUGUAUGAAGAAGGCGCUCGGGUUGUAAAGUACUGUCAGCGGGGAGGCGUUACCCGCAGAAGAAGCACCGUCUAACUCCGUGCCAGCAGCCGCGGUAAUAC